AGGACGAACGCUGGCGGCGUGCUUAACACAUGCAAGUCGAACGAACCUUCGGGUUAGUGGCGAACGGGUGAGUAACACGUGGGCAACCUGCCUCGAGCUCUGGGAUAACACCGGGAAACCGGUGCUAAUACCGGAUAUGACCAGAGAAGGCAUCUUUUCUGGUGGAAAGUUUUUCGGCUCGAGAUGGGCCCGCGGCCUAUCAGCUUGUUGGUGGGGUAACGGCCUACCAAGGCGACGACGGGUAACC
rnacentral:rRNA from 1 species